UUUUUUUUUUUUUUUUUGAGAUGAGUCUCGCUGUGUCGCCCAGGCUGGAGUGCAGUGGCCGGAUCUCAGCUCACUGCAAGCUCUGCCUCCCGGGUUUUUACGCCAUUCUCCUGCCUCAGCCUCCCGAGUAGCCGGGACUACAGAGCCACCCUCGCCCGGCUAGUUUUUUGUAUUUUUUAGUAGAGACGGGGUUUCACCGUGUUAGCCAGGAUGGUCUCGAACUCCUGACCUCGUGAUCUGCUCGUCUCGGCCUCCCAAAGUGCUGGGAUUACAGGCUUGAGCCACCGCGCCCGGCCAGAUGGAUUUUCUUUUGAUUAAUGGAUUCCAAAAAGAAUGGAGCAAUUCCUCCUGCUACUACCAACCUCCCUGUUCUUAAGCAAGUUGUUUAACCUCUCCAGGACUUGUAUUUCUCACUCUUAAGUGACAUUAGUAAGAGGAAUUCUAUGGAUCUCCUGAAAGGCAUGAGUGGAAGAUUAAAAAAAAAACAGUUGGAAACUUUCUUAUUACCUGGUUGUGGUGAUGCACACCUGCAGUCUCAGCUACUUACUCCGGAGGCUGAGGUGGAAGGAUUGCUUGAGCCUGGGAAGUUGAGGCUUCAGUGAGCUGUAGUAGUGCCACUGCACUCUAGCCUGGGCAACAGAGUGAGAUCAGAAAGAAGGAAGGGAGGAAGGAAGGAAGGAAGGAAGGAAGGAAGGAAGGAAGGAAGGAAGGAAGGAAGGAAGGAAGGAAGGAAGGAAGGAAGGAAGGAAGGAAGGAAGGAAGGAAGGAAGGAAACAAAACACUUUCUUGAAAGUUAAGCCAGGUGCAGAGGCUCACACUUGUGAUCCCAGAACUUUGGGAAGUGGAGGCGGGGAGAUGGCUUGAGGCCAGAAGUCCCAGACCAGCCUGGAAAACAUAGCAAGUGGCUCCAUCUCUACAAAAUAAAGUCAGCAGAGUGUGGUGGUGUGUCUGUGUAGUCCUAGCUACUCAGGAGGCUGAGGCAGGAGGGUCGUUUGAGCUCAGGAGUUUGAGGCUGCAGUGAGCUAGGAUUGCGACACUGCACUUCAGCUUGGGCAACAGAGGGAGACCCUGUCUCUAAAACAAAACAAAAAGAAAGGAAAAAGAAAGUUAAAAGUCCUGUAUUUUAUACAUAGAUCAUUGUCACCAGUGUAAUCACAAAGGGCCAAGUGUGAUCACCAGUACAGUGAGAGCCAGAUAUAGUAUGGUUUUCUUCUUUGAGGUCCAUAGGCCCCCACAGUUCCUGUGUGUAUAUCUUGCUCAUCAGAAUCUUCUCCUUUGAAUGAGAGACACAGAAAAACAUAUUCAAGAGAGAAAUAGCGAUGAAAAAUGUGUGAUUCUGAUAAUGGUUCAGGAAGGAAACACCUUUCUUUGGAUGUAAAUUGAGGUUACCUGGGAGCUGAGGAGAGAGGUUCCUGUGUGACUCCAAGAUCUUUUGGGCAGGUUUGUGUGAUGUGGCCUCGUCCUUAUAGUAAGGAGGAUAAGAACGACUGGGAAAGAAACAUUAAAGAUAUGUGUGAGAGUGGGGAAAUUGAUGGUGUGAUAAUGAUAAUGACAGCUACUAUUUAUCUAAUGGCUACCAAAUGCCAGGCGCUUUACUCAGCUUUGUACUACAUUCAUCUCUCAUCUUCCC
ensembl:lncRNA